ensembl:lncRNA
GCCGGGGCUCGAUACCCAGGCAGUCCAGCCAGGACCUGCCAUCCAGGUGCCAGGCCAGGGCGAGGGGUCAGGGAAUGUUUUCCAGGGAAAGAUCUUGACUCAUAGGAACUGUACAUGGAGACGGAAUCAAGGGGAAAGGGCCCGGCCCAACACCACCGCUGGCUGCUCCUUCUCCAUCCCUGUCCGAGUCUGUCCUUCAGAAACGCCCUGUUGUUUCUAGAAAGUGACAACAAACAGGCCAAAGGUGGGGAUCUGCGGCUCGGCUGACCGAGAGCUGCAGAGGUGGGUCCGGCCAGCCCCGUUUCACUGGCAUCCUCUCCUCUCCGCCCACCUCCCUGGACCACCUUCAUCCCUGGCCCCACAUCCCAUCCACGGAGCCAGAGGAAAAGCGUGGGGCCUUCUGGGAGCUCCCUCGGAGGGGAGGGGAGGAGCCUCUUUCCCAGAAACCCUGGGAAAAACCUGGGGUUUCAUUGGCCUGAGCUGGUCACGUGCCCUUCCCUGAACCAAUCACGUGCCAGCAGGAAGGGGAAGGUGACUGCUUAAGCCAAUCAGGCCCCACCCUGGAGCUGUGGGAGGGUCAUUCAGACCACGUGACUGAGAGGGGACUCGGCGGUUCCCAGAGGAGAGUCUGCUGGGCUGGGUGGGAGGAGGUGGGAUGGAAGCUGGGGGCAGCGAACUACCGAGACGGAGAGCGCCGCCUGAGAUGGUUAAUCAUGACGUCGGAUCAAUGUGCAGUCCUCCCUGCGCUCCGCCCCGCCUCCCAGUUUCCGCAAAAUUCAGACACACACCUACUGUAAGACCCAGCCGUCAUCUUCCCAGGGAUUCACCUGUCACAGAAGGAAGCAUUUGCUCAUGCAAAAGCUUUAUACAGCGGUUCAUGCACAUGGCUGGGGAAAAUCGCACCGGGGGACUGAUAAUGAGAAGUAGUGACUCCCUGGACCUCUCGGCCUGAGCUCCGUGCAUCAGGGAAGCAGCCACUGCGGGACCCACAGCAGACCCGGCCGUCCACGACCGGCCAUUCGCCACGUCCAGUCACAUCCUGGGGAGCUGUUUCUGCAGAGAUGGUCCAUGGCGCGGGUGGUCUGUGUCGCGGUGCCUGAGUGAGCAGAUGUGCGGCUCAGAGAGAGAGAUGCCCUGGGCUCCCCACCUCCUGGCUGUUCCUCAUGCUUCUCCCUCCAUCUGCACAUGGACUAUGAUGCUGGAGAGACAGGUUUUACAAAUAAAACUUCCCAUCCAGAUUUCGUCUCAGCAUCCACUUCCCAGAGAACCAGGCUGACAAGCAUGACAGGGUUGCUUCCAAACGCCUCUCUGAGCCUCUAAGUCAUGAGCUCGCACCGCCUGCCUGAGACUCGGACCCCAGGGCUUCCACUGGUGGGAAAAUACCCAAGCCCUGAAGAGGCAGGGUCCUUCUGCCAGAGUCUCUGCUUUCCCCGCAGAGGGCAGAGGGGAGAAUCUGGAGUCGCCCAGACCUGGAUUCAAAUGCUGGGUCUGCCACGUGCCAGCUGUGGGAGUCUGUGUGUGUGUGUGUCCGUGUGUGGAGGUGUACCUCCUCCUCAGAGUGUGCAUAACGCCCACCUUGGUGUCUCCGUCGCUCGUUCUCAAUGCAUCAAUUUCUCUCUCUCACUCGCUCACUCCUCCCGCCCCUUGUUUGCUGCGGAUCCCAACAUGAGGAUCUGGGAGACUCAGACCUGAGGGCCUCGAGUUCCGGGGAAGGAUAAGGCAGUUUUCGGGCAGGCAGGCAGCUCUCGGCUGAUCCUCGGGGAAGGAGCACCUUCAAACCCAAGGGGACCUGAGUCACCAGAUGUGGUGGGAAAAACACCAGAUGCAGAACCAGAGAAUCAAAACACAAGUCCUGCCUCUUCCACUUCCUGUGUGACCUUGGGCAAGUCACUCAACGUCUCUGACCCUCGGUCCUCAUUAGUCAGUGGGGCUGUUGUAAAGAUGAGACGAGGUCACUGCUGUAGGACGGGAAGCCCAGUGCACAGUGUGGGGGGCGCCUUAAACAGAGGAGGAGCCAGG